UACGAAGGGGGCUAGCGUUGCUCGGAAUUACUGGGCGUAAAGGGAGCGUAGGCGGACAUUUAAGUCAGGGGUGAAAUCCCAGAGCUCAACUCUGGAACUGCCUUUGAUACUGGGUGUCUUGAGUGUGAGAGAGGUAUGUGGAACUCCGAGUGUAGAGGUGAAAAUUCGUAGAUAUUCGGAAGAAACACCAGUGGCGAAGGCGACAUACUGGCUCAUUACUGACGCUGGAGGCUCGAAAGCGUGGGGAGCAAACAGG
rnacentral:rRNA from 1 species